UACGUAGGGUGCGAGCGUUAAUCGGAAUUACUGGGCGUAAAGCGUGCGCAGGCGGUUUGUAAGCCAGAUGUGAAAUCCCCGGGCUCAACCUGGGAACUGCAUUUGUGACUGCAUCGCUGGAGUACGGCAGAGGGGGAUGGAAUUCCGCGUGUAGCAGUGAAAUGCGUAGAUAUGCGGAGGAACACCGAUGGCGAAGGCAAUCCCCUGGGCCUGUACUGACGCUCAUGCACGAAAGCGUGGGGAGCAAACAGG
rnacentral:rRNA from 1 species